GUCAGGGUGGUGUGAAAAUCACGUUCGUGCCAGCGAGCAGAUCCGCCAUACCGUGAAACGGAAAAAGGAUCGGUCGAAGACGAUAUUUCCGAGUAACUCGUUCGCUGACACCCACAUACGGACGCUUGAAUUUCAAUAGGAAUCCGUCGUCCAUAUUAUUGAAAUUUUUUUUUAGUUAACUCGUCAUUGGAAAAAUCGUGGAAAAUCGUGGAAUUUUUAAGACAAUCCACAAAUUCGAUACAUUUUUAACCCUUUAAUCGGAGACGACAAAUUAUUUUAUUAGGUAACAUUUGACUGAAUGCACUUUUGAAUGUUAGAUUCUAUGCAAAAUCUAAGUCACCCUAAGUGCCUCACGAGCUUGUUGGGUCAAUGGAAAACUACUUGUUCAAAUCAAGACAAGACAAUAGAGUCGUUAAUCCAGCAAGAUAUUGUACUCGAAAUUAUAUCACUGAUAUUGAUAUAAAUUGUAGCAGAACUUACAAGAUGCUAAUCAAGAGAAAAAAACAAAGUAUCAAUAAAUACCUGGCGAAAACAAAUUUUAACUUGAUGACCUGAAGGACGAGUAAUAAAACUUAUUUGAUACCUUCAUAGUUUUUCCUAAUAUUUUUCUAAGCAUCCUACUUUCUUAUUUUAUUUCUAAAUAAAUUAGACUUCCAAUUUUCUAAAUAUCAUAUUCACUUAACUUUAUUUAUCAAAUUAAUUUUAAUUAAUUCCAAGUUCCA